AACAGGUCCACUGUAGUCCAGGGCAGGGUAGAGUAGAGUACAGUAGAGUACAGUAGAGUAGAGAACAGGUCCACUGUAGUCCAGGGCAGGGUCAGGUUAAAUGUAGAGUAGAGUACAGUAGAGUAGAGAACAGGUCCACUGUAGUCCAGGGCAGGGUUAAAUGUAGUACAGUAGAGUACAGUAGAGUAGAGAACAGGUCCACUGUAGUCCAGGGCAGGGUCAGGUUAAAUGUACAGUAGAGUACAGUAGAGUAGAGAACAGGUCCACUGUAGUCCAGGGCAGGGUCAGGUUAAAUGUACAGUAGAGUACAGUAGAGUAGAGAACAGUAGAGAACAGGUCCACUGUAGUCCAGGGCAGGGUCAGGUUAAAUGUACAGUAGAGUACAGUAGAGUACAGUAGAGUACAGUAGAGUACAGUAGAGUACAGUAGAGUAGAGAACAGGUCCACUGUAGUCCAGGGCAGGGUCAGGUUAAAUGUAGAGUAGAGUACAGUAGAGUAGAGAACAGGUCCACUGUAGUCCAGGGCAGGGUCAGGUUAAAUGCUGCAAAUGUA
ensembl:lncRNA